GACGAACGCUGGCGGCGUGCUUAACACAUGCAAGUCGAACGCUGAAGCUUGGUGCUUGCACUGGGUGGAUGAGUGGCGAACGGGUGAGUAAUACGUGAGUAACCUGCCCUUGACUCUGGGAUAAGCCUGGGAAACUGGGUCUAAUACUGGAUACGACAUGUCACCGCAUGGUGGUGUGUGGAAAGGGUUUUACUGGUUUUGGAUGGGCUCACGGCCUAUCAGCUUGUUGGUGGGGUAAUGGCUCACCAAGGCGACGACGGGUAGCCGGCCUGAGAGGGUGACCGGCCACACUGGGACUGAGACACGGCCCAGACUCCUACGGGAGGCAGCAGUGGGGAAUAUUGCACAAUGGGCGGAAGCCUGAUGCAGCGACGCCGCGUGAGGGAUGACGGCCUUCGGGUUGUAACCCUCUUUCAGCACGGAAGAAGCAAAAGUGACGGUACGUGCAGAAGAAGCGCCGGCUAACUACGUG
rnacentral:rRNA from 1 species